AUUGAACGCUGGCGGCAUGCCUUACACAUGCAAGUCGAACGGCAGCACGGGUGCUUGCACCUGGUGGCGAGUGGCGAACGGGUGAGUAAUACAUCGGAACAUGUCCUGUAGUGGGGGAUAGCCCGGCGAAAGCCGGAUUAAUACCGCAUACGAUCUACGGAUGAAAGCGGGGGACCUUCGGGCCUCGCGCUAUAGGGUUGGCCGAUGGCUGAUUAGCUAGUUGGUGGGGUAAAGGCCUACCAAGGCGACGAUCAGUAGCUGGUCUGAGAGGACGACCAGCCACCCUGGGACUGAGACACGGCCCAGACUCCAACGGGAGGCAGCAGUGGGGAAUUUUGGACAAUGGGCGAAAGCCUGAUCCAGCAAUGCCGCGUGUGUGAAGAAGGCCUUCGGGUUGUAAAGCACUUUUGUCCGGAAAGAAAUCCUUGGCCCUAAUACGGUCGGGGGAUGACGGUACCGGAAGAAUAAGCACCGGCUAACUACGUG
rnacentral:rRNA from 1 species